AUACGUAGGUGGCAAGCGUUGUCCGGAAUUAUUGGGCGUAAAGCGCAUGUAGGCGGUUUGGUAAGUCGGUCGUGAAAAUGCGGUGCUUAACGCCGUAUGGCGAUUGGAACUGCUGAACUUGAGUGCAGGAGAGGAAAGGGGAACUCCCAGUGUAGCGGUGAAAUGCGUAGAUAUUGGGAAGAACACCGGGGGCGAAGGCGCCUUUCUGGACUGUGUCUGACGCUCAGAUGCGAAAGCCAGGGUAGCGAACGGGAUUAGAUACCCCGGUAGUCCUGGCUGUAAACGAUGGGUACUAGGUGUGGGAGGUAUCGACUCCUUCCGUGCCGGAGUUAACGCAAUAAGUACCCCGCCUGGGGAGUACGGCCGCAAGGCUUAAACUCAAAUGAAUUGACGGGG
rnacentral:rRNA from 1 species